rnacentral:rRNA from 1 species
GAUGAACGCUGGCGGCGUGCCUAAUACAUGCAAGUCGAGCGAACAGACGAGGAGCUUGCUCCUCUGACGUUAGCGGCGGACGGGUGAGUAACACGUGGAUAACCUACCUAUAAGACUGGGAUAACUUCGGGAAACCGGAGCUAAUACCGGAUAAUAUAUUGAACCGCAUGGUUCAAUAGUGAAAGACGGUUUUGCUGUCACUUAUAGAUGGAUCCGCGCCACAUUAGCUAGUUGGUAAGGUAACGGCUUACCAAGGCAACGAUGCGUAGCCGACCUGAGAGGGUGAUCGGCCACACUGGAACUGAGACACGGUCCAGACUCCUACGGGAGGCAGCAGUAGGGAAUCUUCCGCAAUGGGCGAAAGCUUGACGGAACAACGCCGCGUGAGUGAUGAAGGUCUUCGGAUCGUAAAACUCUGUUAUUAGGGAAGAACAAAUGUGUAAGUAACUAUGCACGUCUUGACGGUACCUAAUCAGAAAGCCACGGCUAACUACGUG